UACGGAGGGUGCAAGCGUUAUCCGGAUUCACUGGGUUUAAAGGGUGCGUAGGUGGGCAGGUAAGUCAGUGGUGAAAUCUCCGAGCUUAACUCGGAAACUGCCGUUGAUACUAUUUGUCUUGAAUAUUGUGGAGGUAAGCGGAAUAUGUCAUGUAGCGGUGAAAUGCUUAGAUAUGACAUAGAACACCAAUUGCGAAGGCAGCUGACGAAACUAUAACUGACACUGAGGCUCGAAAGUGCGGGGAUCAAACAGG
rnacentral:rRNA from 1 species